rnacentral:rRNA from 1 species
AUUGAACGCUGGCGGCAUGCCUUACACAUGCAAGUCGAACGGUAACAGGUCUUCGGAUGCUGACGAGUGGCGAACGGGUGAGUAAUACAUCGGAACGUGCCCGAGAGUGGGGGAUAACGAAGCGAAAGCUUUGCUAAUACCGCAUACGAUCUCAGGAUGAAAGCAGGGUGCCGCAAGGCCUUGCGCUCACGGAGCGGCCGAUGGCAGAUUAGGUAGUUGGUGGGAUAAAAGCUUACCAAGCCGACGAGCUGUAGCUGGUCGGAGAGGACGACCAGCCACACUGGGACUGAGACACGGCCCAGACUCCUACGGGAGGCAGCAGUGGGGAAUUUUGGACAAUGGGCGCAAGCCUGAUCCAGCCAUGCCGCGUGCAGGAUGAAGGCCUUCGGGUUGUAAACUGCUUUUGUACGGAACGAAAAGACUCCUUCUAAUAAAGGGGGUCCAUGACGGUACCGUAAGAAUAAGCACCGGCUAACUACGUGCCAGCAGCCGCGGUAAUAC